CCUGGAGGAAAUCAAAGUCCUUAUAUGAGACAAAUGAGGUCAUUGAAUUUUCCGCAAAGCAAAUAGGAGCUGAAGAGAGGAGGAGUGGGGGCAACGGCAAUGUCCGCUCACAUAAGGACACUAUUGUGGCUCCCAUUCUUGCUCUCUCUCUCGCACUCGCUUAUAUUCGCCCUAUGUAUUACACUCUCUCACUCAGGAACCGCCCCCGCCCUUGCCCCUUGCGACCAUUCACUAGGAAUUCAUUCCUCUCUCUCUCGCUCUCUCUCCAUUUUACGAUACAACAACGUCACACGCGACAUCUAUUCACACUUUGGUUUACGAAAAUGGAAAAAAUUUUAAUAUCAUAUGCUAUAGGUAAAACGUUUCAUUUUUUCAUUGGAAGAUCCGAUUGACACUUCACCAAAAAUGCACUAUUCUCUCAUAGAAAACGGUACAACGAAAAACAGCUAGACUUUUUUGGAUAACAGCACUUGACGGCAUAGCACACACAUGCACAUACAUAUACCAUUCGCUUAGAAAUUUGAAUGAUUUUUCCUAGGAAACGUUGUUGCUACCUUUUUGUGCCCCCGUACGCAAAACGAACGACUGGAGGCGGAGAGAAGAGCGUAAAUUGUAAAUGGGAGACACAAAGCAGACUACGACAUUGCUGAUGAUGAUGAUGAUGAUGAUGAUGGGGAGAGCUUGCGGUCUAUACGCCGCUCUGUGCUCUGCGUUCUGAGCUGCAGUUUAUCUCAUGCUUUUGUUCACAUUUGCGCCCAUUUAUUGUAUACUAAUAUGAUUAAAUAUCACGAAACGAAACGAAAUGUUGUGCAGCAGAGCAGCGCACACACAAAAA